UGGGUUCGCCUGUUCUUCCUCCCAUUUCCCUUCCCCUUUCACCAAGCAUUCCAUUUCCCAAUGGCGCUUCAUCUUCCUCCAGUCGUGGAUUCCCGAAUGUGGAGGAUUCCUCUUAUAUCACAGAGUCCCCUUUCCCCAGCUUCAAAUGGCGAUUGCUCAUCGCUUAUGACGGUACCCGAUACGCAGGCUGGCAAUAUCAGCG
rnacentral:misc_RNA from 1 species